rnacentral:tRNA from 1 species
UGGCUCAGUGGUAGAGUGCUUGCCUCACAUGCAUGAGGACCUGGGUUCAAUUCCUCAG